CCAAUAGCGUAUAUUAAAGUUGUUGCAGUUAAAAAGCUCGUAGUUGAAUUUCGGGGUUAGUAGGUUGGUCAUGCCACUGGUAUGUACUGAUCUUACUGAUUCCUCCUUCCUGAUGAACCGUAAUGCCAUUAAUUUGGUGUUGCGGGGAGACUGGACUGUUACUUUGAAAAAAUUAGAGUGUUUAAAGCAGGCUAACGCUUGAAUACAUUAGCAUGGAAUAAUGAAAUAGGACGUUCGAUCCUAUUUUGUUGGUUUCUAGGAUUGACGCAAUGAUUAAUAGGGAUAGUUGGGGGCAUUAGUAUUCAAUUGUCAGAGGUGAAAUUCUUGGAUUUAUUGAAGACUAACUACUGCGAAAGCAUUUGCCAAGGAUGUUUUCAUUAAUCAAGAACGAAAGUUAGGGGAUCGAAGACGAUCAGAUACCGUCGUAGUCUUAACCAUAAACUAUGCCGACUAGGGAUCGGAUGAUGUUAAUUUUUUAAUGACUCAUUCGGCGCCUUACG
rnacentral:rRNA from 1 species